UGUAUUAAUAUUGUAUGGUAACACGAAUAAAUGCGGUCUGCUUGUCUAUUAUUUUGUGACUCCUAGGCUACCGUUCCUGAACUUACUUGUACAGACAUUGGCGUUUUUUCAAUGUCCUAACUUCUAAUUGAGAAGUUCCAUUUGAAACUUUCCAACUAGUGUAAAAGGAGAUGGAGAUAUUCCAAUGUUUGUUCAGAUAAGUAGAAGCUUCGAAGAGAUAAUAUAUGCAAGGGGUGCUAGGGAUACAUUUACACGAAUAUGAACAUCACCUUUUUAUUAACCUGUCUGUUUUUUACUAUGAUUUUUGUGAUUGUAUUGACUGUGGUAAAUAAUUUUAUGGGAGUAUAAGCUGUUUUGAGGAGCACGCUUAUCAUCAUGAGUGCUUUCUCUUUAGCUAACUCCUCAUAUAGAUUGAGUGGUGUUUAAAGCUCUGUCCAGAAUUAGUUGAGAUUGGAGUUACGCACACCUCCAUAUGAUAUAAAAAUUAUUGUUUUGGUUUAGUUAAAUCUUGUGGAUGAUUUUUUAGAUUAUCAGGGAUUAAUUAUAUGGUUGGUCUCUGUAAUUAUUCAAUAUUUGUUUAGAUUUUAUUCUGCAUACCAUCAUUAUUUAAUCCCACGGCAACUUUCUGUUUUGAUUUUUAAUAUUUUUUUAUAUUUCGAAAGUUGAAGUUUCAUAUAGGAAUAUUAAGAUAGUUCUUUACUCAUUUACAAGUUGAAGUUUCAUUUUAUGUCAUUUUAACAAAAUUUGUUUGUUCCAAAUUAUGUCAUUUUAUAAUAUCAAUAAUUUUUAUUUUAUUUUUCUAUUAUGCCAUUUUCUAUUUAUUAUUUUUAUCUUUUUUUAAUUAUUUUAAAUUUAUGUUUUCUAUACCUUUUUGUGAAGGAUAUCUUUUUAAAACAACUCGAAUUACGAUUUACUAUACAACGUUAACUACAUUUCCUAAGUGUUUUUCCUUUGAAUGACAUAUAAAAUAGAAUAGAGGCUGUAUUAUAUGUGUCAUUUGAGUUAGUUCAUUAAUAAUUGUGUAUAGAAAAUGUAAUUGAUGUCGUAUAGAAAAUAAUAAUUGUGUGUUGAUUUACAAAAAUAUCCUGAAAAACAUUAAUUAAAAUAAUUAAAAAAAGAUAAAGUAAUAAAUAAAUAAUAAUAGGCAUUACAGAGAUGUAAACUUUAAGAUUUUCUGCUAUUGUAAAAUUACAUAAUUUAAAACAAACAAAUUUUGCUAGAAUGACAUAUUUGGCAUUGCGUGGUUUGUGCAAUUUAAUAUAAAUUGUUUGAUUUAUAUGCUCAACUAAAUAUGAUAUUUUGCCUGGGUCAUUAUUGUUUAAUAUUUGGAUAACUUCACAUUUAUUAAAAUAUAACUGUUUUUUAUAAAUAGGAUCGGAGGGAGUAUAAUUGAUUCAAAUUACACUAAUUCAUCGUUAAUCAUACAUAAUCAAAUAAUCACACAUAAUCAAUUCAAAUUACACAAAUUCGUCGUAAAUCGCACAUAAUUAUAUAAUUAUACAUAAUCGAUCGAAAUUACACAAAUUCGCCGUUAAAUAUACAAUCACAAAUUUGACGCCAAUACAUUAAAAUUCAACAUUACUGAC
rnacentral:lncRNA from 1 species